UCAUAUCUUGUGGACUUAUAACUGAUUUCAUCUCACCAUGUGUGUUACCACCUAGCUUUAGCGAACUGCUUUCUUUAUUGACCACCGUCCCUUCUGCCGGUCUUUAACUAUGCCUUCUCUUAUUUAUGAGCCAAGCGAUAUGCUUAGGGACAAUAGGUACACAGAAGCAUAAUGGCGAGGGCUGCUAGCAUUCAACCCAACGAUGUAAAUACAUUCACGAACGCAAGUACCAAUAAAAAGGAAUCUGAUUUGGCUCUGCUGGUGAGUAAUAAGGACCUUUGAGGUUCACAAUAGUAUGAUUGAAGAAUGAUUGUAUUUCUGACAUGAGAGCAAAGUAUGUGGCGAGUUGAAAGGUUGUUUAACUUUACACAAUAGUAGCCUGAUGAAGAUGGUUAGUUGAUAGCUAGACAACACUGCAGCUUGUAGGCUUCGUUAACUUCGGAUACCCAAAGAAAGCUGAAAAUGGUCCCAGAUCGAUGCUAUUGCAUAAAAUAUUCGAUAACCCCAACAAAAUCAACACUUUAUGCUCUGUAUACUUGUAAGGUGAUUUUGGAAUGCACUUUAAUAUUUCUUUCAACGGAGGUGCGUGACACUUCUCACUUUCAAAAGUGAGAAUGGUGACUGGACUUUAAUAUUGCUUUGCUUUUCUUUCCUUUUCUUUCCACCUCUUUUUGGGAAAAUUCAUCUAACUGUUUGAGAUUAUAACAGGGUAUCUAUUUUGUGAUCUUUAACUGGAUGGCGUGCCAUUCCCCAUUGCUUUGCUUGCUUCAGAAAUCUUAAUCAUCAUGCCUUUCAGCUGAAAAAACCUCCGCCCCACUUACCUUGAUGAUGAAAUUGGCGAAGACCAUUCCCAGUUGAGACUAUCCAACUUUCCUCAAGCUGCAGCUUUCAGGUACAAAUGGAAAGCUAAUGACGGUAAUUCUUAGAAUCAUCGAAAAAAAGAAGAGGUAUCUUUCGGUCGUGAAAAGGUUAGUUAUGCUUGUUAAUCCAUCGUGACUAGAAUUUCUAUCUACUUGUGAUGGUUAAAGCAUCUAUCUUAUCAUCAUAAUCUAGAAUUGAAUCAAUAAAUAACCUGAUUUUAAUGAUUAGAGUUUAGAUAAACACGAUUACUAUCAAAUAUUGUUUGGUUCUCUUUAAAUUUAUGCAUGAUUCCACGUUCUA